CUUAAGACCUCAUAACAAUUAAUGGUCCAAGUGUUAUUGCUGCAUUGCCAAAAUGAGUUGGAGAUACAGGUUUAUAGAUGUGAAUUUGACUGUGCACUAAUGUUUUGAAAUAUGUUGUGUACUAAUUGUGACAGAGAAUGAAAGGUGACCUGAUAGAGGUGUACAAGAUGAUGAGAGGCACUGAUCAUGCAGAUACUCAGAGACUUUUUCCCAUGGCUGAGAUGGCUAGCACAAGAGGGCAUAGUUUUAAGGUGAUUGAAAGUAGGUACAGAGGAGAUGUCGGAUAAGUUUUUUACUCAGUGGUGAGUGCGUGGAAUGGGCUGCCGGCAACGGUGGUGGAGGCGGAUACGAUAGGCUCUUUUUUUUCCACUCUUUUUUUAUUAACUUUUUUUAUGAGUUUCUACAAUGUGACAAAACAAAAAAACAGUAAAAAAAAAGUUUAUACAGUGCAAAACAAACGUAUCAGAUGUACAGUUCAUAACAAGUAAGAAAAAGCACCCAUAGUAGAAUCGUAUAAAGUUAGUUACCACCCCACCCUCCCACUACCCAACUCCAAGCCAACCUUACAAUAUAUAAAAAAAGUUAAUCAGAACUUUAUCACCACAGAGCUGUAUUUAUAAAAAGAAGGUAUAUUGCCUACUACCUAAUCUAUGAUAUGUUUACACAUUAAAAACCCAUAAAUCUUAACCGUAAGAAGCUGGAAGUAAGGGAUUUAAAUGUAAAAGAAAAAAGGGAGGGAUGCACCCUUAAUCUAAAUGGGAAUUAUGAAAAUAUUCAAGAAAAGGUCCCCACACCCUUUGGAACUUUAUGUCCGAAUUAAGAUGUGAAUAAUGAAUCUUCUCAAGGUCUAAGCAGGACAUAAUGUCUCUGAGCCAUUGAGCAUGAGUGGGUGGGGCAGCAUCUCUCCACCUAAGAAGGACUGCACGUCUGGCCAAAAGAGAGGCGAAAGACAAUGUACCACGCUUAGUCGGAGUCAGAUGCAUGUCAACUUCUCCUGAAGUACCAAAAAGAGUAACCUUGGGUUAGGUUCCAAGUAGCAAUUAAGUAUAUGAGAUAAAGUUUAAAAAAAAGUCUCUCCAGAAUUUCUGCAAGCCAGGACAAGCCCAAUACAUAUGAGUAAGAGAAGCCUCGCCCCCUUAACACUUAUCGCAACAGGGACUAAUAUCAAGAUAGAACCGCGAUAAUUUAGUUUUAGACAAAUGAGCCCUGUGUACCACCUUGAACUGUAAAAGGCAGUGGCGAGCACAUAGAGAAGUUGAAUUAACUGACUUGAGAAUUUAAUCCCAAACCACAUUGGACAAAGGAAAACUUAUUUCAUUUCAUUUUUCAAUCUUUUUGAUUGAUUUCCAAAUAAAGAAUAUACAAAUUGGAAGAAGAGUUUAACAAGUUGAUAAUACAAAAGACAUAUAAACAGCAAUAGUAAAAACAAAAAGUAUAUAAUAUCAAAAUCAAAUAAGUAAAAUAUUAUGCUGUUAUAUAUACAAUGGUAAAAAAACUAUAACUCCUCAGAACAAUCAUAAAAAAACAUUGGAAAUUUUAUUGAUAAGCAAAAAAAAAACCACUAACUAAACUGAAACAAAAAACAAAAAAAAAAGAAAGAGAAAAAAAGGAAAGAGAAAGAAAGAUUGGGUAGUCCAAUUGAGGAUAAAAUUAGAAAAAACAGAGAGAGAGAAUAAAACACAUCCUUCCAGUCAUUCCGAACUUUCAUGGAUAAGGAUUUUUCCCAAAGAGAAUUAAGAAAAAUAAAUAAAUAAAAAUAAAUUAAAUUAUGUGAAAACGUUGAAUAAAAGGUCGCCAGAUUUGUUCAAAAUUAAAGGAUGGAUCAAAUAUCCGGUUCUAAUUUUCUCCAAGCUUAGACAUGACAUAAUGGAGGAGAGCCAAUAGAAAACAGCAGGUGGGUUAGAUUCUUUCCAAUGUAGCAAAAUAGCUCUCCUAGGGAGUAAAGUUGAAAAAGCUAUCACAUGUUGGGCGGAAGCAGACAGUUUGCUUGCUUCCUCUGGAAUAAUCCCAAAAAUUGCUGUAAGUGGAUUAGGUUGAACAUCCAUAUCUAUAACUUUAGAUAAUAUUCCAAACACAUCCCUCCAAAAAAGGAAAAUUUAAAUCAUGCUCCCAGGCAGUUUUAAUUUUUAUCAAAGGAGGCUUGCCUCAACAUCGCUAACAUAUCUCGAAUAGUAGAAAUUAAACCUUUACCCAAUGGGUUCAUAAUAAGAAACAAAUCAACAACAUUUUUAUCAGGUACCUCAGGAAAGUUUGGUACUAAAGGGUUGAUAAAAUGUCUAAUUUGGAGAUAUCUAAAGAAAUGAGUGUUAGGUAGGCCAAAUUUACAGACAGUUGUUCAAAAGUUGCAAAGCACUUAUCUAUGAAAAGAUCUUCAAAGCACCUAAUGCCCUUUCUGUGCCAGUCUAGAAAUGUUAAGUCCUGCAUAAAGGCUGAAAAAAAUGAUUAUGUAGAAUAGGACUAGAGAGAGAGCGAAAUUGUGAAGCCCGUUAUGUUUUCUGAUCUGAGCCCAUAAUCUCAGAGUGUGUCUAAUGACUGGAUUAACAAUUGAUUUAGGCAAAUAGCAAGGAAGUGCAGAUCCAAGAAGAGCGGAGAUGGUGAGUUUCUUAUUAGAGUUCAACUCCGUUGCCACCCAUAUUGGGCAGUCAGACUGAUUAUAAAAGUAAGACCAAAAGAUAAGACAAUGUAUGUUGGCUGCCCAGUAAUAUAAAUGAAAAUUAGGCAAGGCCAUACCACUUACCCUUUUAGGUUUCUGAAGGUGAGCUUUAUUUAUUCUGAGACAUUUGCCCUUCUAUAGAUAAGACAAAAUAAUAGUAUCUAACGAGUCAAAAGUGCUUUUGAAAUAAAAAUUGGUAAAGAUUGAAAUAAGUAUAAAAAUUUAGGAAAGAUAUACAUUUAAACAACAUUAAUUUGACCUAUCAGAGACAUGGACAAGGGUGACAACUGUGCUAAACUCUGCAUGAUUUAAAAUAAUGAAAUUUUCUCCAAAAAGAUGCUUAUAAUUUCUUGUUACUGUAAUGCCAAGGUAAGUAAAUCGAUUAUUUACUACUUUAAAAGGGAGGUUACGAAAUUUUAAUAAUUGUGCUUCUCUAUUUAUUGGAAAGAAUUUGCUGUUAUGUAAGUUAAGUUUGUAUCCGGAAAGCUGGCUAAAUUUGUUAAGGAGUGGAAACAUUGGGGAUAAGGAGGUAGUCAGGUUUGAUAUAAAAAGUAAAAGAUCAUCAGCAUAAAGAGAAACUUUGUGCUCAACACCCUCCCUCCCUCCCUUGCUGGGUGCCAAGUUUAAGAUUGGGAUUGUUGAGAGUUAGUCAAGACAGAAGUAGUGGGGUGUGAAUAUAACAAUUUAAUCCAUGUGAUAAAACUUUUUCCAAAAUCAAAUUUUUCUAAAACCACAAAAAGAUAAUUCCACUCCAUACAAUCAAACGCUUUCUCCACAUCUAGAGAAAUGACACAUUCAGGAAUCCCAGCUGAAGGUGAGUAUAAGAUAUUAAAUAGAUGCCGUAUAUUAAAAAAAGGGAGACAAUUUUUAAUAAAACCAGAUAGGUCUUCAGAAAUAAUUAAGGGUAGAAUGUUCUCCAAAGUACAUGCCAAAACUUUAGCCAAAAUUUUAACAUCAACAUUUAGCAAAGAAAUCGGCCUGUAUGAGGAACACUCUGUUGGAUCUUUACCUUUUUUCACUAAAAGAAUGAUGCAUGCCUCAUUCAAUGCUGCUGGUGAUUUACCAUGUUUAAACGGGUCAGUUAAAACUAACAUUAGUUGAGGCGAAAGCAGUGAGGAAAAUGAUUUAUAGAAUUCUGCAGAGAACCCAUCAGGCCCAGGAGAUUUACCAGACUGCAGUACAGAAAUAGCUGAGGAUAUUUCCUCUAGUGAUAAUGGUUCAUUCAAUUUUGCUUUAAGAUCAGGAGAAAGCUUAGGAAUAUUUAAACUAUUUAAGAAAAGCUCGACAGAAAUUGUGUCAUUUAGAAAUUCAGAAGUAUAGAGUUGAGAAUAGUAAUUCUGGAAUGUGUCAUUAAUUUCAGAAUGAUUCAAGGUAAUGUUCCCAUUUUCCAUUCGAAUUUUUGUGAUAUGUUGUUUAACUUUAGAGCACUUUAGUUGGUUGACUAAAAGUUUACCAGAUUUAUCACCAUGGAUAUAAAACCGGUUCUUACUUUCCAAAAGUUGGCAUUCAAUUGGGUGAGUGGAAAUAAGGUCAAACUUAAUUUAAAGUUCCACUCGUUUCUUAUACAGCUCUAGAUUUUUGGUCUGGGCAUAUAGUCGGUCUGUUGCUUUAAUUUGAUUGAUCAGAUCUAAUCACUCUUUAUGGGUCUUUCUAUUCAAAUUCACAGUAUAUAAAUUUUUUUGACCUCUUAGGUAUUCUUUUAUAUCAUCCCAAACAACCUGACUUGAGGUUUCAGAUGACGUGUUAGUAUUUUUUUUAAAAAGUUAUCUGGUCCUCCAUAAAUUUUACAAACUCAUUAUCCAACAACAAAGUCAAAUUAAGACACCAACGUUUAUUCAUUUGGGGGAAACCAGGAAGAAUUAUAGACAUGGUGACUAGGGUGUGAUCUGAAAUCAAUAUAUCUGAAAUCCGAUAGUCAUCAUAUACUCCAAUGGAAUCAGCUGAUUAUCAAUUAAAAAAUAAUCAAUUCUCAUGAAAGUAUGAUGGACAUGUGAAAAAAAGAUCUCUCACAUUUGGAUGGAGAAUACACCAUACAUCAGAGAUACCAUAAAUAGAAAGGACAGACUGAAUUGAUAAAUCAGAUUUACUUGGUAAUCUAGGAAUAGAGGACAAUCGAUCCAAAACUGGAUCCAACCAACAAUUAAAAUCACCGCCCAAUAUGAGAGAAUAUGAACUCAGCUCAGGCAAUAAAGAGAAGAAACAAUCAAAAAACUCCACAUCAUCCGAAUUGGGAGCACAUAAGUUAGCCAAGACUACCAGUGUGUUGUACAAUCUCCCUGAGACAAUAAUAAAAUGACCAUUUGUAUCAGAUACUUUGUUAUGAAGCUCAAAGGGAACAAUUUUGAUUUAUAAGAAUUGAACCCUGCCCCCCCCCCCGGCUUUAGCCUGAAAAGUUAAAUAAAAGUGCUGCCCCACCCAUCUUGACAUAAGACAAGAUUUAUCAGAACUAUGAAUGUGUGUGUUUUUUUGCAAAAAAGCAAUUGCUGCGUUAAGCUGUUUAAGAUGUGAAAACACCUUCCUUCUUUUAACAGGAUGAUUCAAUCCCUUAACAUUCCAGCUUACAAAACUCAACAGACUAACCAUCGUCCUUUUUAAAAAAAAUAGAGGAUAUUAGGCAUAAGCAUUGUCAGAAAUUCGAGAAAUAGUCCUGGGGCAAAAGUAUAAAACAAGAAAAACAGGACAGAAAUACAUCCUGAAUAAUACAAAUGUCUAAAGAUUCUAUGAAUAAUAUUGGUGUUACAGUUCCUUCCCCCCUCGCACCCCACGGCAAGAGAGCUACCGAAAAGCAGCAGCCUCUUCAAAAGAAAAUCACUCCAUAAUCCUACUUCCUGUUUCUUAACAUCAUCAUCAGCUCCAUUUUGCAUCAAUUACAAAAAAGAAAACUUUUAGCUCUACAAACUAAAAUUAUACAUAGUGAAAAGAAAAACCAUUCCACCAAAAUUUGUUAAGCUUAACUCAAGGUAAUAAUCCAAAAAAAAUGAACUAGUGUAUAAGAAAAAAUAUAAAAACAAGUAAACAGAUUUUACCCAAUAACCUACCCACAAGAAUCUGUGAAAAACGAAUUUACUGACUUUAGAGAGAAAGGUUAAGAAAAAAAAUCAGAAGAUAAAAAUGCUUCUCCACCGAUAUAAGUAAUUAGACCAAACCAGAGGGAGUCAAAGCCUUAGGGAGGUCAUCGAUAAAUUUCUGAGCUCCUGAAGCCGAGUUAAACCACUUUUUGCCUCCACUAGUAAGAACUAUUUGGAGGCGAGCUGGAAAUCAAAAGGAAGGCCUGAAUCCGCAAUUAUAUAAUUCUUUCAUGACUCCUUUAAACUUGGCUCGCAGACUCAGAACUUGGGGAGCAUAGUCCUCGACCACACAAAUUGGUUGUCCCUUAAAUUCUAACUUCCCUCUCUGACAGGCUUCCUUAAUGAGGAGAUCUUUAAUAUGGUAGCGAUGAAAACAAAUAAUUACUGGACAUGGCCUAUGUCCCAUCUCCAGCAUAGGCCCAAAAGUACGGUGAGCUCUGUCUAUCUCAGGAAGAGUCAAAAGUAUAUCAUUCCCAAAAUUCUCACAUAGCAGAGUAGAUAAAAAUUCAGCGGGAGACCCAUGUUCGAUAAUUUCUGGCAAGCUGAGAAUACAUAGAUUUUGACGUCUGCUCUGACUUUCCAAAUCAGUAACUUUGGAUAAUAGCUUGCUGUUAUGAUCUUUCAAUUCGGAGCAAACGCUUUCCAGCUCUUUAAAACGGUGGUCUAACAUAUCCAUGGCAGACUCGAGAUGUGAGCAUGAUCCUCCACUAUGGAUUGAAUCUGAUCCAAUUUCAAAUUCACCAAACUGAUAGAAGACUGAAAUUCGGCCAUUAUUUCCUGUUGGUGCUGCUCCAAAAUCGAGAUAAUGUUUUCGCCUGAGGGGCCAGCUGCAGGAACUUUUUUCUUCCCCGAUUUGGUGGUCUUUGAAGCCAUCGUAAAACAGGCAUAUUCGCAGGCAGAAGGGAGAAUAAAAAGUUUAACAGUUUGGAGUGAAAAAAAGGAAGAGGAGGAGUGCGGAGAUAAGAAAUAAAACGGAGUGAUAGCUUUUAUCAGCUAAACCAUCGCUAUCUUAACCGGAAGUCCGUAUAGGGUCUUUUAAGAGACUUCUGGAUAGGUACAUAGAGCUUAAUAGAGGACUAUGGGUAAUUUCUAAGAUAAUAAAAUGUUCAGCACCGCUUUGUGGGCCAAAGGGCCUGUAUUGUGCUGUAGGUUUUCUAUGUUUCACACAACUUUUAUAAUUGAGAUUUCAUGUUGGUCAAUUAUUAUUUAUAUUUUGGUUUGCAUUUUUUAAAUCGUUGCUCCCUUUCACACGAGGCACAUCGUUCAUUGUGGUCUUUGGCCUUUCUCCUUUAGGCUUUAUAUGGGAGAUAGAUAAAGGGCCAGGAUUGCUCAUGAACCAUACCUCAAACCAAAAUGCGUGAAAGAAAAGGCAAAAAUAAACCAAAAAGUAACCAUUAAUUGGUAUUUUAAGUCAGUUUGUGAUAGAUAGGGAAGAUGAAAGGAGGUAAGUUUUCCCAUAGUUUCAAGGUUCUGAAACUGACAAAUUAGACAAGGAGCAAUGCAGUAAAUCUGAAAUAAUCUCCUGAGAUUUCAAUGUCAUAAUCCUGGGUUACGUGUCAAAAAUUAACAAGUGUAGUUGAGGAUUGAAGUUACAGAAAAUAGGCAAGGACAUCCAAGCUUUCAAAUUGUGAAAUUACAUUAAAGAAAGGUGUUAUAAAAAGAAGUGGAGAGGAUUGGGUGUCAAGGUGGUGUGACAGCUAGUACGGCACUAUCACAGCUCAGUGUAUUCUGGAGUUCAGAGUUCAAUUCUGGUGCCGAUCUGUAAGGAGUCUCUGUACAUCCUCCCUGUGGAAUGUGUGGGUUUUCUAAGGUGCUCUGGUUUAUUCCGACGGUUCAAAGACAUACCAGAGUGGCAAGAGUUGACACAGAGUCUUGAAGCAAUAUACCUUUGCUGUUUUGAGUUUUGUCACUAUGGAUACCCAAAGGUGUAAGUGGCUGGAAGACUGCAAACUGAAAAUGAAUCACUCAACCCAAUGCUGAGAGGGAAAAUCGGGCAAUGAAAAUGUUAAAGGAGUCAGCCACAGCUUGCACAAACAUCAGGUCAAGGGUUCAACAGAGGUCACCGCACUACAAAAAAUGGAAACUACAAUAUUCUCAAAAAUAAUUCCUUCCAGAGGAUGAAAUCUCAAUGUGAGCACUGUCAUGAGUGUCAAAAAAAGGAGAACUGAACAGUCCGGACCAGGAGAAUAUUUGAAGUUAAUUCCCACUUUAGUUCUAUGAUCAGUAACUUGCAUUUUGGUCUGUAGAGUUAAAGAACAGGGUAGACAGGUUAGAAAAGGAAGAAAACUGUUAAUGUCCUCUGGUGUUCAAACUCAAGAUCUGGAAAUACCUUGUGUCUCUUCAUAUCCUCAUUAAUCAUUAUGCUGGAUUAAUUACCUACUCGUGUUAUCAAAUUGAAAUGGCAAACUUUAACCUAUUGAUUGUUUUGAUAACUGGUUGAGAGGCAACUUCUCUGCAGUCACCACCAAUAUAAUAAAUAACAAAAAAAAUGUUAAGAUUGUCCAGUGCAACCAAAUGGGAAACCAAUUUGAUGAACCCUGCUAUUGAGCAUCUCCUUGUUCAGAGGGGUAGCAAUGCCAUCACUGGAUUUAGAAUUUCUCAGUUAACAUAGUUCCUUUGUCAAUAUUUUUUAUCACGUAACUGAAUACCGGGCUAUUGUCAGUGAGGUCACUCUCUCCCCCCACCUCCCACCCCCAG